GUUGACCUCGGAUCAGGUAGGACUACCCGCUGAACUUAAGCAUAUCAUA
rnacentral:rRNA from 1 species